rnacentral:lncRNA from 1 species
AUAUUGGAGGAUGUUCUUCAAAUGAACAAGUCACUAAUCGAAUUGAGUUAGAUGAUAAUAACAUCCAAGAAGAAAAUCUAGAAGAAGUUGGUUGUGAAAAAUGUGACAUAGUUCCCAAUAAUCAAGAACUCCUAAGUAAUUUAAAUAGUUGCAUCCCUAAAAAUAUAUAUGACCCAAGUCAAUGGAAUAAUAUAGAUACAAAAUUGAGAGAUCUAUUAGUAGAAAAGGGAC